AGGUAAUGCAUUCACUUCCUGGGUGUAACAAAAACUCUUCAGAGGGUGAAGCUGCUUCAACAUUUCUGAAAGUCCUUUGUCACCUCACUCCUUCCAGUACCCUAAACAAUUGAGAAACUGAGUUGAUAAAAUAUUCCUUUGAGGGAAAUUGAGUUGGAAGUCCUCAUGGAUACAGAUGGCAGCAUCAGAACUGUGAGCUGAUUGGGAAAGUGUGAGAAGAUGCAUCAGAUCUUGCUGUGCUUUCAAACAUGGAAUAGUCUUCCCACCAGUGCCAGGACUGUUGAACUGAUGUUUCCUGAAG
ensembl:lncRNA